UGUUUAUCAAAAACAUGGUCUUUUGUUUAUAUAAAAGAUUAGGCCUGCCCAAUGAUAAUUUUAAUGGCUGCAGUAUUUUGACUGUACAAAGGUAGCAUAAUCAUUUGUCUCUUAAUUGGAGUCUGGAAUGAAUGGUUUGAUGAAAAGUUUACUUUCUUUACUUUAAAAAAAAAAAUUGAUUUUUUGAUAAAAAAGUUGAGAUUAAAAUAUAGGACGAGAAGACCCUAUAGAACUUUAUUCUUAUAAAAAUAUGAAAUAUUGAUUAUGUCUUUUUAUCUUUUUUGGGGAAUUAUGUUGGGGUGAUAAAAAAAAUAUUAUAACUUUUUUUACUUUGAUCAUUUAUUUAUGAAUUGUUUUGAUCCUGUAUUUAUGGAAAAAAGACUAAGUUACCUUAGGGAUAACAGCGUUAUUACUUUAGAGAGUUCUUAUCGAUAAAGUAGUUUGCGACCUCGAUGUUGGAUUAAAAAAAGUUCCGGGGGUAGAAUAUCGGAAAUCUGGGUCUGUUCGACCCUUAAAUUUUUACAUGAUCUGAGUUCCAACCGGAGA
rnacentral:rRNA from 1 species